GAAAAGAAAAAAGAAAAAGAAAAUGGGAGCCCCCAAGACUACCCAGCUUUUCAUGCAAUCCUAGAGGGAAUGAUGGGCAGAUCCAGGCCUCUGGGACCAGUCCUAAGGCUCAGCCAUCUAGGGCUGGGACAGGGGCAUCAGUGCCCUUUGGAAGCCAGGCAAAUGUCAUGCAAAUGUGUCUGCAGAGGGCUCCUCUGCCUCAGGAGGGCAACCCAGGAUUUCCCACCACCCGCUCCCUGAGCUCAGACCCUGCAGGGGACUUUGUUUCUGGCCCUGCCACUGACUUACUUGAGGAGGUCACUCUGAUUCCCAAUUUGUGUAAGGGAGAUUAAAACAGCAGACACCUCCUAAGUUUGCUGGUGAAGAUUCAACAGGAUAAUAUAUAUGAAAUGUUUAGCAUAGAGCCUGCCUGGCACAGCAAGCUCUCCAUAAAGGUGGCUGCUCUGUAUUUAUCAUCAUCAUCAUCACCACCAUUGACUUCAGCCUGCCCAUGUGGUGGAUGCUGAAACAGGCUGAGGGUGGUUACUCUCCUGGGAGGACAAGGAAGGGGCUCUGAGACCCAAGCCUGGUCUUGUCAGGAGAAGGGGGUAGGGGGCGGACCCCAGCUGAAAAGGGAGUGAGUUGGAGCUAUAUUUGAGCUCCUGGUGUGAUGACUAAGGAGGUUGAUAACAGGCUCUGGGGCUCAGGGCGGCAGGCUGGGGGCAGCUGUCAGGGAGAACCGCCCCCCUGGAGACGGCUGUCUCUGGAGGCCCUUUCUGGCUCCCUCCUUGCCCUCACUCUUGGUGGGGGAGGGGGGUGGGCGUACUGAGGCAGGGUCCAGGGCUCAUCCAGCCCACUCCUGGAAACUCAGUGCUGUCCUUCAGGCUGUGUGGGUCAGGGAUAGGAAGGCAGGAUGCCAGUGAUAGAUGGAGUAUCCCAGUUACUCUCCAUAGUAACCCUGUGAGGUUGGUAAUGAGGCCCCCAUUGGACAGAGGAAGAAACCGAGGCCCAGGGAUUACACAGCCAGUAGAGAGAGGACAGAGCAUGGAGCUCCUGGAGAGGCAGUGGAUAAUUCUUCCCGACAGAGGAGCUGACUGUUGAACCCCUUCUUUGAAGGAGAGUCCGUGCUGCCAAAUCGAAGAAGAGAAACGCCCUGGCUGGAAAGCAGAGAGAACAGCAGGUCAGAAAGUCUGCUCAGCAGUAGCUGUGGAUGUCGCAGGUUCGGCUCAGAAACUCCAGUGUCCCUCAGCGUCUCGCCGGCACCCUCUGCCGGCGUGAGGUGGCGCUGCCUGGCCGCAUCCU
rnacentral:lncRNA from 1 species